rnacentral:rRNA from 1 species
CAGAGGAAGGCUCGUCCGCUCUGGGUUAGUCGGGUCCUAAGCUGAGGCCGACAGGCGUAGGCGAUGGAUAACAGGUUGAUAUUCCUGUACCACCUAUAAUCGUUUUAAUCGAUGGGGGGACGCAGUAGGAUAGGCGAAGCGUGCGAUUGGAUUGCACGUCUAAGCAGUAAGGCUGAGUAUUAGGCAAAUCCGGUACUCGUUAAGGCUGAGCUGUGAUGGGGAGAAGACAUUGUGUCUUCGAGUCGUUGAUUUCACACUGCCGAGAAAAGCCUCUAGAUAGAAAAUAGGUGCCCGUACCGCAAACCGACACAGGUAGUCAAGAUGAGAAUUCUAAGGUGAGCGAGCGAACUCUCGUUAAGGAACUCGGCAAAAUGACCCCGUAACUUCGGGAGAAGGGGUGCUCUUUAGGGUUAACGCCCAGAAGAGCCGCAGUGAAUAGGCCCAAGCGACUGUUUAUCAAAAACACAGGUCUCUGCUAAACCGUAAGGUGAUGUAUAGGGGCUGACGCCUGCCCGGUGCUGGAAGGUUAAGAGGAGUGGUUAGCUUCUGCGAAGCUACGAAUCGAAGCCCCAGUAAACGGCGGCCGUAACUAUAACGGUCCUAAGGUAGCGAAAUUCCUUGUCGGGUAAGUUCCGACCCGCACGAAAGGCGUAACGAUUUGGGCACUGUCUCAACGAGAGACUCGGUGAAAUCAUAGUACCUGUGAAGAUGCAGGUUACCCGCGACAGGACGGAAAGACCCCGUGGAGCUUUACUGUAGCCUGAUAUUGAAAUUCGGCACAGCUUGUACAGGAUAGGUAGGAGCCUUUGAAACGUGAGCGCUAGCUUACGUGGAGGCGCUGGUGGGAUACUACCCUAGCUGUGUUGGCUUUCUAACCCGCACCACUUAUCGUGGUGGGAGACAGUGUCAGGCGGGCAGUUUGACUGGGGCGGUCGCCUCCUAAAAGGUAACGGAGGCGCUCAAAGGUUCCCUCAGAAUGGUUGGAAAUCAUUCAUAGAGUGUAAAGGCAUAAGGGAGCUUGACUGCGAGACCUACAAGUCGAGCAGGGUCGAAAGACGGACUUAGUGAUCCGGUGGUUCCGCAUGGAAGGGCCAUCGCUCAACGGAUAAAAGCUACCCCGGGGAUAACAGGCUUAUCUCCCCCAAGAGUUCACAUCGACGGGGAGGUUUGGCACCUCGAUGUCGGCUCAUCGCAUCCUGGGGCUGUAGUCGGUCCCAAGGGUUGGGCUGUUCGCCCAUUAAAGCGGUACGCGAGCUGGGUUCAGAACGUCGUGAGACAGUUCGGUCCCUAUCCGUCGUGGGCGUAGGAAAUUUGAGAGGAGCUGUCCUUAGUACGAGAGGACCGGGAUGGACAUACCUCUGGUGUACCAGUUGUCGUGCCAACGGCAUAGCUGGGUAGCUAUGUGUGGACGGGAUAAGUGCUGAAAGCAUCUAAGCAUGAAGCCCCCCUCAAGAUGAGAUUUCCCAACUUCGGUUAUAAGAUCCCUCAAAGAUGAUGAGGUUAAUAGGUUCGAGGUGGAAGCAUGGUGACAUGUGGAGCUGACGAAUACUAAUCGAUCGAAGACUUAAUCAA